GUUCUCAAAUGUUCUAAGUUCACAAUGACUUUGUCUUUGAAUGGGAAUUGCCUUUCAGACUUGUAACUCUGAGUUCUAAAGUUACUGAGACAUGAAGAAUCCCACUGCAGCUAUCCUCAUUUUCUUUGACUCAGUGUGAAUCUCCUGACUAUGAACACUCUUGGGCAUACUCUCGGACUCUUGGAGAACACCAGGAUGUACAUCGAGUUCUGUUUUUCCUUUCCAAUGUGUAACACAGUCAUUUAUUACUGCUUGUAAAACUACAUGGAAAAAAAAUACUUGCAUGAAACAGAAACUGUGAAAG